AGAGUAAGUUGGAUAAUCGCAUGGAAACAUGAGGAAAGUCCGAGCUUCAUAGAGCAUGAUGCUGGUUAACGGCCAGUGAGGGUGACCUUAAGGCAAGUGCAACAGAAAAUUACCGCCCGCAAGGGUAAGGAUGAAAAGGUGAGGUAAGAGCUCACCAGCGGCUAGGCGACUAGUCGGCUGUGUAAACCCCAUUUGAAGCAAGACCAAGCAGGGACCUGGAAUGGCUGCUCGUCAUAUCCCGUGGUAGGUCGCUUGAGCACUUCGGCAACGAUGUGCCUAGAUAGAUGAUUAUCGAAUACAGAACUCGGCUUAUAGAUUUACUCAACCU
rnacentral:RNase_P_RNA from 2 species